GAUGAACGCUGACAGCAUGCUUAACACAUGCAAGUCUUUGGCGAAGCUGUGCUUUCGCCGCCUAGCCAAGGCGGACGGGUGGGUAACGCGUCAGGAACGUGCCCUGCAGUCAGGGAUAACAGACGGAAACGACUGAGAAGACCUGGUAAAGUCAGUCGGACUCAUGUCCAGCCUGAGGAAAAGAGAUGCUGCAGGAGAGCCUUGCGUCCUAUUAGCUUGUUGGUGGGGUAACGGCCCACCAAGGCGAUGAUAGGUAGCCGGCCUGAGAGGGUGGACGGCCACAAGGGGACUGAGAUACGGCCCUUACUCCUACGGGAGGCAGCAGUGGGGAAUAUUGGACAAUGGGGGCAACACUGAUCCAGCAAUUCUGUGUGAACGAUGAAGGUUUUCGGAUUGUAAAGUGCUUUAAGCAGGGAAGAAAAAAUGACGGUACCUGCAGAAGAAGCGACGGCUAAAUACGUG
rnacentral:rRNA from 1 species